UACGUAGGGUGCAAGCGUUAAUCGGAAUUACUGGGCGUAAAGCGUGCGCAGGCGGUCUCGCAAGUCAGGUGUGAAAUCCCCGGGCUUAACCUGGGAACUGCAUUUGAAACUACGAGGCUAGAGUGUGUCAGAGGGGGGUAGAAUUCCACGUGUAGCAGUGAAAUGCGUAGAGAUGUGGAGGAAUACCAAUGGCGAAGGCAGCCCCCUGGGAUAACACUGACGCUCAUGCACGAAAGCGUGGGGAG
rnacentral:rRNA from 1 species